CUCCCUUGGGCUUGUUGCCGACGUACCGCUCCCCCCCCUGCGCUCCGAAAAAGGGAGGAUCGAAUAA
rnacentral:SRP_RNA from 1 species